rnacentral:rRNA from 1 species
UAACGAGGGUAGCAAUACCGCUGACGACCGGCGCACGGGUGAGUAACGCGUAUGCAACCUGCCUAUAACUGGGGAAUAGCUCCCUGAAAGGGGAAGUUAACACCGCAUAACACUAUUGAUUCGCAUGGAUUGGUAGUUAAAUGUAGCGAUACAGGUUAUAGAUGGGCAUGCGUGACAUUAGCUAGUUGGUGAGGUAACGGCUCACCAAGGCUACGAUGUCUAGGGGUUCUGAGAGGAAGGUCCCCCCACACUGGUACUGAGACACGGACCAGACUCCUACGGGAGGCAGCAGUGAGGAAUAUUGGUCAAUGGGCGCAAGCCUGAACCAGCCAUGUCGCGUGCAGGAAGACUCGCCCUAUGGGUUGUAAACUGCUUUUAUAGUAGAAGAAACACAUCUACGCGUAGAUGUCUGCCAGUAUACUAUGAAUAAGCAUCGGCUAACUCCGUGCCAGCCGCAGC